rnacentral:RNase_P_RNA from 1 species
CGAGUUGGUCGGGCGGCCGCGGCGCAGGGAACGGGCACGAUCGUGCCGCCGCCCGGCGCCGAGGAAAGUCCGGACUCCACAGAGCAGGGCGGUUGCUAACGGCAACCCGGGGUGACCCGCGGGAAAGUGCCACAGAAAACAGACCGCCCACGGCCGUCGAGGCCGUGCGGUGAGGGUGAAACGGUGCGGUAAGAGCGCACCAGCGCCCCGGGUGACCGGGGCGGCUCGGUAAACCCCGCCCGGAGCAAGGUCGAAGGCCGCACCGUCCGCGGUGCGGCUGCGCAGGCGUUCGAGGGCUGCUCGCCCGAGCCUGCGGGUGGGCCGCUCGAGGCACCCGGCAACGGAGUGUCCAGAUGGAUGGCCGCCCCCCGGUGCGAACCGGGGACAGGAUCCGGCUUACAGACCAACUCGUCCG